rnacentral:antisense_RNA from 1 species
AUAAUCCCCUAACGUAUAGAACAUUUGACGCAAAAAGGGUGUGGGG